CAGGCCUAACACAUGCAAGUCGAGCGGUAAGGCCUUUCGGGGUACACGAGCGGCGAACGGGUGAGUAACACGUGGGUGAUCUGCCCUGCACUUCGGGAUAAGCCUGGGAAACUGGGUCUAAUACCGGAUAUGACCUCCUAUCGCAUGGUGGGUGGUGGAAAGAUUUAUCGGUGCAGGAUGGGCCCGCGGCCUAUCAGCUUGUUGGUGGGGUAAUGGCCUACCAAGGCGACGACGGGUAGCCGACCUGAGAGGGUGACCGGCCACACUGGGACUGAGACACGGCCCAGACUCCUACGGGAGGCAGCAGUGGGGAAUAUUGCACAAUGGGCGAAAGCCUGAUGCAGCGACGCCGCGUGAGGGAUGACGGCCUUCGGGUUGUAAACCUCUUUCAGCAGGGACGAAGCGCAAGUGACGGUACCUGCAGAAGAAGCACCGGCUAACUACGUGCCAGCAGCCGCGGUAAUACGUAGGGUGCAAGCGUUGUCCGGAAUUACUGGGCGUAAAGAGUUCGUAGGCGGUUUGUCGCGUCGUUUGUGAAAACCAGCAGCUCAACUGCUGGCUUGCAGGCGAUACGGGCAGACUUGAGUACUGCAGGGGAGACUGGAAUUCCUGGUGUAGCGGUGAAAUGCGCAGAUAUCAGGAGGAACACCGGUGGCGAAGGCGGGUCUCUGGGCAGUAACUGACGCUGAGGAACGAAAGCGUGGGUAGCGAACAGGAUUAGAUACCCUGGUAGUCCACGCCGUAAACGGU
rnacentral:rRNA from 1 species